rnacentral:rRNA from 1 species
AAAUAGAACUUUGCAGAGAGAGUUAAGAGGGCGUGAAACCGUUAAUUGGCAAACGAAUCGGAGCCACGAAGUCGUUUCGCUGAUAAGUUGAGCCGGGCUCAGAAUAAAAGCUAAACACUUUUGUUUGUAUUUCCGUAGUUCAACCUCAAUGUAAACGUACACUGCAACCAGUUAGACAAUUAAAGAUGGGCAUAGUUGCUUAGCGGGCAACUGCUAGGUAACGACAAAAUUGCCUGCUAGAGUUAGUAUCAGCAUGGCGAGGCUUGCUUCGUUUGUGUUGUUGGACUUUCUAGUAUUUGGUGGACUAUCUUUAAAUACUGACUGGCACAAUGAAAAUCGCUUAGGCGUUUUACAAAAAGCAGCUAGCUGCAUUAGAGCCUACAUGCUUGACCAUAGAGUCUAAGCUCAGCAUUUUUAAAUUCAAACUUGCUUGCUACCAGUGGGGCAACUCCUGGUGCUUGUAUUGCUUUGUCUAAUUGGGUGUUGACUUGGCUAUAUGCUGUUUGAGUAUGCUACGAUGGGGUUUUAAUGUAAGUUAACUCGCAAUUGAUUGGCAGUGAGUAGGUCGGCUUUCCGAACGACCCGUCUUGAAACACGGACCAAGGAGUCUAAUUAGGCAUCAGUCGAUCGGUCUUGAUAGGCCAGAUGGGGUGCUUGCACCCCAAUGAAGGCGAAAAGAAAUCAAAUCAUGUGAUCUUUACAGGUUAUAACAACUUGAAGGCGCAACAUGUGCCUGUUCGUAUAACAAUGUAAGCAAUUACUUGUUGGGCGGAGCAAAGAGAUGCCUGAUUGGUACCCGAAAGAUGGUGAACUAUGCCUGGGCAAAUUGAAGCCAGAGGAAACUCUGGUGGAGGAUUGUAGCGAUUCUGACGUGCAAAUCGAUCGUCAGACCUGGGUAUAGGGGCGAAAGACUAAUCGAACCAUC